rnacentral:rRNA from 1 species
GCCAGAGUCAUGUCUCCCUGCAGUUUCCCACUGAAGCUAAGCAUGAAUGAACCUGGCCAGUACCUGGAUGGGGGAUCUUGUAGGGGAAACUAAGGUUGCUGCUGGAA